CCUGGCUUGAUCAGUUCCCUUUCUACCCACCUCCGGGGAACCUCAGGCCGGAAAGGGGGCGUCUCCCCUUCCCCCCUCCCUUCCAAGCUAUCGCCUUCAGCGCCCCUACACGCUCGGAAGAUUUCUCAAAUUCAUUCAUUUGUAAAGUACAAUAAAAUCGAAAAUCUCCAAGAAGCUUGAUAAAAAGCAGCCUAAUUACCGCAAAGCAGCACCUAGACGCACGCCGGGACUCCCGGGAGCCCACCCUGCUGUCUCCCUCCCGGAGCGAGCGGGAAGUUGGGCUCAGUCUUGUUCGUGCCCCCGCCCAGGGCCUUGGCGCCUGGCGCUUUAAGCCUGUUAGGGACAGAAUUCCUGUCCUUAAAUAUACAAGCAGAUAAUUGUUGGCGCGCUAGCUUUGUGUGAGGAGGCUGGGGGUGUAAAUGGCUUUUAAUGACUGCAGCUGUGGGUUGCGAACUGUCAGUGCAAGUGGGUUAGUGCGGAGCCCCAGAGUCAGGCGGGGAGCGGGGCGCUGAGCCGCACGGAGCCUUCCCCUCGCCACACAGUUCCUCAGCAACAGAUCCUGGAGACCCCGGCGAAGACCGACUACCUAGGCUAGAGAGCCAGGUCCAGGGCGCUAGGUCCAGGGCUAGGACCAGAAUUAAACCGCACGCACGCAAGGCACAGCAUCCCGGGAAAGAAGAGAAAAAGAAAUUACGUAGAUUCCCAAAGCUGCUGGGCCCCGUUUCUCACGGCCCACAGGCGCUGCCGGCGGCCCUUCUCGCCUAGAAGAUCCGUCUUGGAACUUGGCUAGGGGGACCCACUCUCUUGCUAACCUGACUGCCCUCCACCACCCAGAGAUGACAGCCCAGAACUGGUCCGCCACCUAGCAGGGCUACGGGACUGGAGACCAGAGAGUCCGGCACAAGGCUCGGGACGCGGCACCAGGAACCAGGAAGGAUCUUACCUGCUGUAAGUUUUAUUCCUGCCUCUCGCGUUUUGGGGCUCUCUCAGCCGUGAUCAUUCGGAGCUGCUUGACUACAUAGCUGGAGAUCUUUGCGAGAAAGUAUUUGUUCUUCUGUCCGUCUGUCUUCCCGACCAGCAACUUCAGAGCUAGCAGAGACCUACAACCCUGCGCCAGGACUAAAAGUUUUUCAGGCUGCACUCUGCCCUGAAAUUGAAAAUUAUUGUAUCUUGUAGCAUCAAGAAGCAAAAACUCACAGAUACAAUAAAAUGAUGAAAAUGUACUUUUAAUUCCUUUUGCCAACAGAGCGCCGAUGCGCCCGGAAGACUAUCCCAACUGGGAGAGGUACAUUCACACGCGUGUGUCCUGCGUUUACACAGCCCUGCCCGCAAAGCGAAGUGGAGGUGCCUUACGGCAAAAAUCCCAUACAUUUUUAACUACAGUGAUUACUAAAUUAAUAGCAGGCACCAAGACAGAUGUCAAAACGUCUUGAAAAUGUUUAUCUGUGAAUAAUUGAGAAGGUGGUGGGACGCAUUAUCUGAUUGUAUAAUGAAAUAUGUAUGAGGAACAGCUGUUUGCAAGAGUCCCCUCCCGUCGUUUCCUUAGCCUGGGCCCUUUUCCUCGCCAGAGGCGAGAGGACGACAAAGUUGGGCACCUACUUCUUAACUAGGGAGAAAACUCUUUUUCACGACAGCCUCCCCACCCCUUCCUCCAGCCCCUAGUUCCUCAAAUAAAGGUUGGAAAGGAAGAAAGGAGGUUUCUCAGAGCUUGCCAAGAUCGAGCCAAGGAGGCUGGGAGG